rnacentral:rRNA from 1 species
UACAGAGGGUGCAAGCGUUGUUCGGAAUUAUUGGGCGUAAAGGGCGCGUAGGCGGUGCGGUAAGUCUGCAGUGAAAUCUCUGGGCUCAACUCAGAGUCUGCUGUAGAAACUGCCGUGCUUGAGUGUGGGAGAGGUGAGUGGAAUUCCCGGUGUAGCGGUGAAAUGCGUAGAUAUCAGGAGGAACACCGGUGGUGUAAACGGCUUUCUGGACCAUUGCUGACGCUGAGACACGAAAGCGUGGGUAGCAAACAGG